GCUGGGCACGGUGGCGCACGCCUGUAGUCCCAGCUACUUGGGAGGCUGAGACAGGAGGAUCCCUUGAGUCCAGGAAUUCUGGGCUGUAGUAUGCUAUGCCGAUCGGGUGUCCGCACUAAGUUUGGCAUCAAUAUGGUGACCUCCUGGGAGCCCACCAGGUUGCCUAAGGAGGGGUGAAAGGUCAAAAAAUGGAGCAGGUCAAAAAAAAGAAAAAAAAGAGGGACCCAAGUUUGUCUCUUGGAGUAGUAACUAUUAGUAUAACUAUCCUGUCCUU
rnacentral:sRNA from 1 species